AUUGAACGCUAGCGGGAUGCCUUACACAUGCAAGUCGAACGGAGUGGCGAACGGGUGAGUAAGGUAUCUGAACGUGCCCGGUCGCGGGGGGUAACUACGCGAAAGAGUAGCUAAUACCUCCUACUAUUGGUGGGGUCGACAUCGGAUUAGCUAGUUGGUGGGGUAAGGGCUCACCAAGGCGACGAUCCGUAGCUGGUUUGACAGGACGACCAGCCACACUGGGACUGAGACACGGCCCAGACUCCUACGGGAGGCAGCAGUGGGGAAUUUUGGACAAUGGGCGAAAGCCUGAUCCAGCCAUGCCGCGUGUGGGAUGAAGGCCCUCGGGUUGUAAAGCACUUUUGGUAGGAAAGCGGUACCUGCAGAAGAAGCACCGGCUAACUACGUGCCAGCCGCCGCGGUAAUUC
rnacentral:rRNA from 1 species